CCUUGACAUGCAGAGAACUUCCAGAGAUGGAUUGGUGCCUUCGGGAACUCUGACACAGGUGCUGCAUGGCUGUCGUCAGCUCGUGUCGUGACGAUGUUGGGUUAAGUCCCGUAACGAGCGCAACCCUUGUCCUUAGUUACCAGCACGUUAUGGUGGGCACUCUAAGGAGACUGCCGGUGACAAACCGGAGGAAGGUGGGGAUGACGUCAAGUCAUCAUGGCCCUUACGGCCUGGGCUACACACGUGCUACAAUGGUCGGUACAAAGGGUUGCCAAGCCGCGAGGUGGAGCUAAUCCCAUAAAACCGAUCGUAGUCCGGAUCGCAGUCUGCAACUCGACUGCGUGAAGUCGGAAUCGCUAGUAAUCGUGAAUCAGAAUGUCACGGUGAAUACGUUCCCGGGCCUU
rnacentral:rRNA from 1 species